AUUGAACGCUGGCGGCAUGCCUUACACAUGCAAGUCGAACGCAGCACGGGAGCAAUCCUGGUGGCGAGUGGCGAACGGUGAGUAAUAUAUCGGAACGUGCCCAGUCGUGGGGGAUAACGUAGCGAAAGCUACGCUAAUACCGCAUACGAUCUACGGAUGAAAGCGGGGGAUCGCAAGACCUCGCGCGAUUGGAGCGGCCGAUAUCAGAUUAGGUAGUUGGUGAGGUAAAGGCUCACCAAGCCGACGAUCUGUAGCUGGUCUGAGAGGACGACCAGCCACACUGGGACUGAGACACGGCCCAGACUCCUACGGGAGGCAGCAGUGGGAAUUUUGGACAAUGGGCGCAAGCCUGAUCCAGCAAUGCCGCGUGCAGGAUGAAGGCCUUCGGGUUGUAAACUGCUUUGUACGGAACGAAACGGUGAGCUCUAAUACAGUUUGCUAAUGACGGUACCGUAAGAAUAAGCACCGGCUAACUACGUG
rnacentral:rRNA from 1 species